AGGGCACCACCAGGAGUGGAGCCUGCGGCUUAAUUUGACUCAACACGGGAAAACUCACCCGGCCCGGACACUGGAAGGAUUGACAGAUUGAGAGCUCUUUCUUGAUUCAGGGGGGGGGGGGGCAUGGCCGGUCUUAGUUGGGGGAGGGAUUUGGCUGGUUAAUUCCCAAAAAGAAACAAACCUCUAGCCUAUUAAAUAAUCGUUGGUUUCAAAACGCCGUCCAAACUUUUUUAGAGGGGACGGGCCCCAUCCACCCGAACAAAAAAAACAAUAUUUGUCUGUUAUGACUUGAAUGUCCGGCCCCACUCGCGCUAAUGUGAAGAGAUCUGCGUGCCUUCUACACCAACUGGGCGAGAGAGGAAGCCCUGCCCCCUCCUCGAGAGUGUAUGUUAUGUCCUGCUACAUCCGACAUGGUAUCCAGUAGCGCGAUCUAUUGUGCGCUGACUGUAUCUGCCUUGCCCACGUACUGGAUAAUAGAUGAUGUCGAGCGAAUUGCCCACUGGAGACUCUCUUAUCGUG
rnacentral:rRNA from 1 species